rnacentral:tRNA from 1 species
UAUGGAGUUGCUUAGUGUUAGAGCGAUUAUCUAUCACAUAUGAGACCCUGGGUUCAAAUCCCAGUACAAAA